rnacentral:rRNA from 1 species
UAAUACAGAGGUCCCUAGCGUUGUUCGGAUUUACUGGGCGUAAAGGGCACGUAGGUGGCUAGGCGUGUCGCGUGUGAAAUCUCCGGGCCCAACCCGGAAAGUGCGCGCGAAACUACCUGGCUGGAGUACGGGAGAGGGAGUCGGAAUGCAUGGUGUAGCGGUGAAAUGCGUUGAUAUCCUGCAUAACACCGGAGGCGAAGGCGGACUCCUGGAACGUUACUGACGCUAAGGUGCGAAAGUCGGGGGAGCAAACAGGAUUAGAUACCCUGCUAGUCCACCGCCGUAAACGAUGUCGACCAGGAAUUUGACGCCUACGAGGUGUUGGGUUCCAGAACAAACGAAAUAAGUCGACCGGCUGGGGAGUACGGCCGCAAGGUUAAACUCAAAUGAAUUGACCGGGGCCCGCACAAGCGGUGGAGCAUGUGGUUUAAUUCGAUGCAACGCGAAGAACCUUACCUGGUCUUGACAUGGCAGGUAAUCCUGUAGAGAUACCGGGAGUGCCGCAAGGAAACUGCACACAGGUGCUGCAUGGCUGUCGUCAGCUCGUGUCCGUGAGAUGUUGGGUUAAGUCCCGCAACGAGCGCACCCUUAUGACUUGUUGGCAUCAUUUAAGUUGGGCAACUCAAGUCAGAACUGCUGGUGAUAACCGGAGGAAGAUGGGGAUGACCUUCA